GGCCCGACGGGAGUUGUAGUUCUCUCUUCCGCAAGGUCCUGGUGUCUAAAGCCCGGUUCCGGAGCUGGCGAACGGUAUAGGUUCUGGCUAAGGGCCUGCUGGACUUCACCGACUCCGGAGCCAGUCCCAGUUCCUAGCCACGCGACGAGACGCAGGUGCAGCGCGGGAAGGCUCGCGGCACAGUGCAGGCAGCUGUGUCAAUCGUUUCCCCUCCAGGGACCCUCCGGUGUCUAGGGACAGAGACUUGUGCAGCUGCGCCGAGCCUGCUGGGCCACCGCCCGGACCUUGGAGGCGGGGAACUUGGGGCCGCCUUUGACCUGGUCUGACGGUGCGAGAGAGCCAACGCAGGUAAACGAGCAGCGAAACCUGGAGCAGUCGGGUGCUGGUCUCCUCGCAGCCGGGAUCCGCUUCAGCCGGCCACUUCAUCCUCUCUCUCCUUUCUUGUUCAGUCCCCACUACGGAGUUCUGUCCCCUACCUGUUAGCAAUGACACCCCACACCCCCACCCCACCCCCGCUCCCCGAGUAUUUUAUGUUACUAAGGAAUUAUCGUCAUCCUUAUCGAACGUGCUUACGGUAAUGUGGCUUUAAAUUUAAAACACACACACACACACACACACACACUAAAGUGUUGAUAGGUAAAAUGAUCCAAUACGUUUAUUUUGUUUUAGACUAAGCCUCUGGAAACUGGGAAAGAAGGGAAUAAAUUAACUGAGGAUGUCCUUCGAUGUUGGAGCUGUGGGAUAUGUACACAUAUGCUAUCAUACCAGUAUUUAUGUCUCAAAUUGUUCAUAAUAAAGUUUUGGUUUGGGGGGGACGGAUUGUUUGUUUUGGUUUGGGUUUUCAACUAACUAGUCCCGGACAAGAAGGUAGUGAAUGAUGGACGGAGUAUUUUUAAGUUUUCUUCUGCAGAGACUUUUUUUCAUGUCAGUGAAUCACCUGGUUGAGAAACUUGGAGAGGUUUUAUUUUAAACCUUCAAUGAGAAAAUAGCUUUCUAAAACAGUUUCCCUUAGGAGAAGUGAGUGGUCAGUCAUUGGCCUUGCAGCUAAUGGAGACUCAUCUGAGAAAUUAGAAAACUACUAAUUGCUUUUAGUGAAAAGACAACCUCUUCUGCCAGAUUUGCUUUUAAAGACUCCUCAAAUUUCAAGCUCCCUCCACUGUAGUCAAUGGAUUUUUCCAACAAAGCUAAAAAGGAAAAAUAAAAACUUCUGACUGAGAGGAUAAGUUAAUAGUAGAGUUUUUCUCCAGCAUGCCCUUGGUUAGAUGCCCUUGGCACUCCCUUCUGCCACCCUCUUAAAAAUAAAAAACAUGAGCACUUCCCA
rnacentral:lncRNA from 1 species